rnacentral:rRNA from 1 species
CCAAUAGCGAGGCCGGAAAUGCUAACCAUCCGAUCUCAUUAGAUGGCCUUCGGGUUGUCUUGUUGGGGGAGCGUGGGACCCGAUCCGGUAGUAGUCAAGCGAUGGGGUGACGCAGGAGGGUAGUCCCGCCAGUGAAUGGUAGUACUGGUGUAAGCCUGUAGCCCGACAUCUAGGUAAAUCCGGAUGUCGUGAAGGGUAAGAGGUGAUGCAUAGCCGAUAGAGGCGAAGUAGGAUGAUCCCAUGCUGCCGAGAAAAGCCUCUGGCGAGUGCUGUUGCGGCCCGUACCCCAAACCGACACAGGUGGUCAGGUAGAGAAUACCAAGGCGAUCGAGUGAACUGUGGUUAAGGAACUCGGCAAAAUACAUCCGUAACUUCGGGAGAAGGAUGGCCGGAGGCUCUGAAGCUCUUUACGGGCUAGGGGCAGCCGGUCGCAGAGACCAGGCCCAAGCGACUGUUUACUAAAAACACAGGUCCGUGCGAAGUCGCAAGACGAUGUAUACGGACUGACGCCUGCCCGGUGCUGGAACGUUAAGAGGACCUGUUAGUCCCUUUGGGGGCGAAGCGGAGAAUUUAAGCGCCAGUAAACGGCGGAGGUAACUAUAACCAUCCUAAGGUAGCGAAAUUCCUUGUCGGGUAAGUUCCGACCUGCACGAAUGGCGUAACGACUUGGGCGCUGUCUCGACCACAGACUCGGCGAAAUUGCACUACGAGUAAAGAUGCUCGUUACGCGCGGCAGGACGGAAAGACCCCGGGACCUUUACUAUAGCUUGGUAUUGAUGCUCGGUUCGGCUUGUGUAGGAUAGGUGGGAGACUGUGAAGUGGCCACGCCAGUGGUUGUGGAGUCGUUGUUGAAAUACCACUCUGGUCGAAUUGGGUGUCUUAACCUCGGGCCAUGAUCUGGUUCAGGGACAGUGCCUGGUGGGUAGUUUAACUGGGGCGGUUGCCUCCCAAAAUGUAACGGAGGCGCCCAAAGGUUCCCUCAGCCUGGUUGGCAAUCUGGUGUUGAGUGUAAGUGCACAAGGGAGCUUGACUGUGAGACCGACAGGUCGAGCAGGGACGAAAGUCGGGACUAGUGAUCCGGCACCGCCUUGUGGAAGGGGUGUCGCUCAACGGAUAAAAGGUACCCCGGGGAUAACAGGCUGAUCUUGCCCAAGAGUCCAUAUCGACGGCAUGGUUUGGCACCUCGAUGUCGGCUCGUCGCAUCCUGGGGCUGGAGUAGGUCCCAAGGGUUGGGCUGUUCGCCCAUUAAAGCGGUACGCGAGCUGGGUUUAGAACGUCGUGAGACAGUUCGGUCCCUAUCCGCCGCGCGCGCAGGAGACUUGAGGAAGGCUGUCCCUAGUACGAGAGGACCGGGACGGACGAACCUCUGGUGUGCCAGUUGUCCCGCCAGGGGCAUGGCUGGUUGGCUAUGUUCGGAAGGGAUAACCGCUGAAGGCAUCUAAGCGGGAAGCUCGUUCCAAGAUGAGGUCUCCCACCACCUUGCGUGGUUAAGGCCCCCAGCAGACUACUGGGUUGAUAGGCCAGAGAUGGAAGCCCUGUGAGGGGUGGAGUUGACUGGUACUAAUAGGCCGAGGGCUUGCC